AAUUGCUUUCACCAGUCGUGGCAAGGGGACUUUGGAUAAUAUCCAUUCUGGGUUGCAGGAAAUUAUUUUGGGGCUCUUUUUGGAGGGAAACAGGAGAUACACAGCCUCUGAGAGAUCCCAUCUGAGUGGUCCCUCUGCCAGGGCUCUGACCCUGCCCAGGCUGUGUCACUGAUCAGUCAGAGGCUGAUGUGAGUCAGAUUCUACCCUCCAAAGUCCUGUUUUCUUCUUGCUGGAAGAAACUUCCAGCCCUCAGGUCUUUUCAUACCUCUGGAGAGGACACCAUGCCUGAAUUGAUUGUGAAGAAUAACUCAAACAAACAAAAAACCAAGGUAAUCUGUCUUUAUCAGAUCCUGUCCAGAAUGCAUUGGUGUGUCACCUUGGUGCCUGUGAGCAGGGAGCAGUGCCUGGCUGACAUGUGCUGGGGAGGUGGUUCUGUUCUUUCAGAGUUCUGCUCUUUCAGCUCUCUUGGCAGCAUCCUGAGGUUGGUGGUGUUUGCCACCUUCUCCAGGCUGAGCCCAUGCUCUUCCCUGCCAACAAAGCACGGCCUGUGGAUCUCACCAACAUCACCUGUAUUGAUCUGA
rnacentral:lncRNA from 1 species